CCUACGGGUGGCAGCAGUGGGGAAUAUUGCACAAUGGAGGGAACUCUGAUGCAGCGACGCCGCGUGAGUGAAGAAGUAAUUCGUUAUUGAAAGCUCUAUCAGCAGGGAAGAAAGUGACGGUACCUGAAAAAGAAGCUCCGGCUAAAUACGUGCCAGCAUCCGCUGUAAUACGUAGGGAGCCAGCGGUAUCCGGAUUUACUGGGGGUAAAGGGAGAGUAGGUGGGAUAGCAAGUCCGAAGUGAAAACCCAAAGCUCAACUAUGGGAAUGCUUUAGAAACUGCUCAGCUAGAGUGCAGGAGAGGUAAGUGGAAUGCGUGGUGUAGCGGUGAAAUGCGUAGAUAUUAGGAGGAACACCAGUGGCGAAGGCGGCUUGCUGGACUGUGACUGACACUGAGGCUCGAAAGCGUGGGGAGCAAACAGGAUUAGAUACCCGUGUAGUC
rnacentral:rRNA from 1 species